UUGAUGCUGGUUGCAGCAGUAUGCUGGUUUUAGAAGUAUGGUUGUUUUAGCAGUAUGCUGGCUGCAGAGGACUUACAUAUGUUAACUAGUUUUCUCUGGAUGAUCUAAUCUUUGCUGAUGCUGCACAUAUGAGAUGGACCUAUGAUUCAUUGACUGCGAUGUGGAUACUGAACGUGAACUGCAAGUUCUAUAUAUGAAUACUUGAAUGCUGGUGCGAAUUUUGCUGCAGAAUAAUGAGGCAUGUGGAGAUGUUUUUAGCACAUGGGCACAUGACCGUAGCUGUGAAGUGGUUGCUGAUGCCUGUUCUGUUCUCUGAUUGGUUGGUGAUUAACUUUUGCAGUAUUAGGGAAUAAAUACUGCUACUUGGCUGUUGCUGCCCACUCUAUAUUAGUUGGGGUUGGCAAUUUUACUAGCUGUUGUGAGAUUGAUUGUCGCUGCCAAGCUGUGUUGCUUGCUUGCUUGCCAACAAUCAAUUCUUAAAUUAUAGUCAUACAUAUGCAUAGUGUUAUGCUUUGUGCCUGUGGAUUUAUAGUUUUGUCUCACUGUAACAAGUUUAAUGCUAUGAAAAAUUGAUUCUAUACUUAAUUUGCCAUAACA